rnacentral:rRNA from 1 species
UACGGGAGGGUGCGAGCGUUGUCCGGGAAUCAUUUGGGGCGGUAAAGGGCGCGUAGGUGGCGGGACAAGCGUGCGGAUGAAAGCUCGGGGACCUCACCCCGAGUCGGCCGUGCGAACUGUUUUGCGUGGAGCACUGUAGAGGCAGGCGGAAUUCCGGGUGUAGCGGUGGAAUGCGUAGAGAUCCGGAAGAACACCGGUGGCGAAGGCGGCCUGCUGGGCAGUGCUGACACUGAGGCGCGACAGCGUGGGGAGCAAACAGG